UUCUCUUCUCCCCUUCCGUCACAAAUCAAGCACCGCCGGUUGUGAUUCCGCUGCAUGCCAACCUCUUUCUCUCUGAAGGUCGUCGCCCCUCGUCCCUACCCCUUCCUCGCGCACCGACAGAUAUUGGCACCGGCACACCAUAGGCACUGCAAGGUGAGCCCAUGCGGCAUGGGACAAGAGGAAACAUGUGGCUACUCGGUUCCAUGGUGUAUAGGGAGAUUGAGCGACGGCGGUGAGCAGGGACUUGGGCUAGCGCCGAUGAGCAGGGAACAACAGCAGCGGCGCCUGCAAGCACCAUCCUCCAUUGACAAAUCUCCCUCUAUUGAAGGGAAGCCCCAUGGAUAAUUGGCUCUCUUCAAUGGGUCUACUACUGUGUUAUUACCGGCAAGACAUCAUUGCACCGUCCUCAUCCAAGAACUUCAUAUUUAAUCUCAUGUUCAUAUUUUGGAAACUAAUCAAGAACCGCCAGCUUUGUGUGCGCAGCAACACUCAGAUGAUCACAAUCUCACUUGGAUGCUUCUGCCCCAGAUUUGGAGCUUAACGCUGCAAAGAUGUUUUCUAUCCAGUGCAUCUCGAACUUAACUCACUCGCUUGUCCCUCCACGGCAGCCAACCUCUUGAUCCUUGCUUUUCUGGGUCUUGAAGUCUAUCGAGCAUAGAUAACAUGUUGUUGCAAGUUAUUUGCAGUAGCAGAUACUUAGCCUGACCAACAAUGCUUGUACAUGCUGAUUUAGGUAUUCUGCUAGCUGUAGAAAUUUUAGA